CCUCUCUCAUGUUCUCUCAAUUUCUCUAGGAGUUGUUUACUUUCCUAUGACGGUCAAAUGAGGCACCAUAGACUUUACUCUUCAUCCAAAAAGGGGAAAUGCAAUUGGACAUGCAGCUUAUCGCAGGAAGGCUUGGAAACAUGGAAUGGAUACACAAAGACUCCAGAUCCCCAAAAGAAUAGAACCAUUUCGUUCUGCCUUCCACUGCCAUGUCUUCUCUCUGUUUCUGCUCUUCAAAGAUUCUGAGAAUCAUCUAAGUCUGCUUAAAAGGAAUCAAGAGGGAGAUUUGUGACAUGGAGAAGACAUAUGAAGAUGGAGGCAGAGACUGGAGUGAUGCAUCUACAAAGAAAAAAAGGAACAUCAAAGACUGCCGGCCAUCACCAGAAGCUAGGAGAAAGACAUGAAAUAGAUCCACCCUCAGAACUUCCAGAAGCGACCAACCCUGCUGACACCUUGAUUUCAGACUUCUCGCCUCCAGAACCGUGAGAAAAUUUAUGUCGUUUAGAGCCACCCAGUUUGUGGUCAUUUGUUACGGCAACUGUAGGAAACUAAUCCAGCCGGUAAGUGAUGGAACUACAUCCAAAACCAAGCACCAAAGCCAGUGUUUUGAGCCCCAUUCUUUAUACAUCUCUUGUAUUGAUGAGGCCAAUGCUACGCAAACAAUAAAUGUUGCUGGGUUUAAUUUUAUUUGGAAGAAGCAGAUGAAUAAACAUUGAUUUUAUUUUUCUUUGGAAAAAUGUUACUGAAAGAAUGCAUUUGGAGUAAGAAUGACUGUGAAUUUUGGCUGUAGCCAUUUUGAGUAAGUGUAAUUAUGUUCCCAUAAAAUUUCCCUUUUGUUGCCAUAAAUAGGCAAUUAUAAUCCCAGAGAUUAGUGUUUUUGAUUCAUUGAUGAGGCAUUAGCUGAGCAUCUCCUAAAGUGGCAAGGGCAUGAAUUUAUUGAAUGCAUCUGAAGACUUCCUAGUGCAAGUUAGCCCACUGAUGCAGUCUCAACACAGAGAACUCCCCACAGCAUCUUCCAGGAGCACCCUUCCUCACUUACUCUCUUAUUUUUUCUGUAUUGGGCAUGAUUAUUUUAGUUUAUAAGCAUCUUGUAGGCCUACAGUUUACUCUGCAGAUAUAUAAAGGGUGGAGUAAGUGAACAGUGAGGUGAGCAUGGAGAAGAAAGAGGAAGGGCAUAAUCUCAGGGAUUACCCAUAAAGUGGCCAAGUGCAAGAGGAGAAUUAUCAGGAAAAUGACCGAAGAAAAAUACGUUUUGUUUAUGGAAUGUGUUUGAAUAAAAUAGUUGCCUUAAACUUCUGCCAUCAGUGAUUUUUCUGAAAGAGUGUAUUGUAAAGAACGUAGAGCAGAAGGAUGUACUGCUCUCCUUCUCAAUUUACAUUAAUUUUACUUUCUGUAAGAAGCAUUCUUUUCCUGUGCCCAUUGUCAACACCAUCCAGGGGCCACAAACAUCAAGCAGAACAGCCACCCGACAACUCUCUAAACUGUGAGGGUGCUGGAAACACCUAACCACAGUGAAGACUCUCAAAUCUCAUUCUGCUAAAACCAGUGGCUUUUUCAGAGUAGCAUCAUUGAGAUGGCAGGACAUAUGUACGGCUUUUUUCCUCCAAACUAUUUUGUAUCGUUUUUGUAAAAUUUAUUUCUCAUUUGAAUGCUAUAAGUUUGGCAUUAUUAUCUCUAUUUUUCAAAUGAGGAAUUGAGGCAUGGGAAAGUUAAGUGGCCUGUCCCAGAUCACAUGACUUCAAAAAACUCAGGAAUCUCUGGGGAUAUUUCCUGAUCUUUUCCUAAUUGGGUGAGUAGUUGGGAGUUGAGAGCCUAUGCUUCACCACCCCAUAGGCCAUCUGGGCCACUCUGAGUCUGGUGCCGUUACUGACAACUAGCUGUAGAAAUGCUUUAAGAGUCGGAUGCUACACUAGACUAAAAGCAUAGGGAAGGAAAAUGAAUUAAAUAUGUAUUUAAUUCCAGGAGGGUUAUAUAUGUCUCAUUACAGAAAAUGCCCUGGAGCUGCCAAGGUUAAGUUUUUUCCCCUAAUUUCCUUGGAGGAAGAUAAACUAGACAAUUAAAAAAAAUACUGUUGACAUUGUUAAAUUCUAAACCUCCCUCUGCUCAUACCAGCAACUUUCCAAUAGCUAAAUAUGAGCAAUUCAGGCAUAGGUUCAUAAGACAAAGUGAAUCUACUAAUAUACAGUUGUUCAUUUUCCCAGCUGUUAAAGUGCAGAUUUCCAGGAAUUAAAUUAAAACUGAAGAUUGCCAGCAACUAUUUCCAAUAAAAUGUGUCUUGGUGCUGAACUUAGGGAGAUGUGGUUAAAGAACUGUAAGAAUAUAUUUAUCCUUGAAGAGAAAUGCCUCUUCAGAGACAUUGAUAAAAUACUUUAUUUCAUUUUAAUUACCUUACUCUUUAAGAACGUUUUCUUCAAUUAAAAAAUCAUCUUAAAUCUGCAUAAAAUGAUUUGGCUUUUGUAAACACAUAA